rnacentral:rRNA from 1 species
GGGUUGUGAGGUUAAGCGACUAAGCGUACACGGUGGAUGCCCUGGCAGUCAGAGGCGAUGAAGGACGUGCUAAUCUGCGAAAAGCGUCGGUAAGGUGAUAUGAACCGUUAUAACCGGCGAUGUCCGAAUGGGGAAACCCAGUGCAAUUCGUUGCACUAUCGUUAACUGAAUACAUAGGUUAACGAGGCGAACCGGGGGAACUGAAACAUCUAAGUACCCCGAGGAAAAGAAAUCAACCGAGAUUCCCCCAGUAGCGGCGAGCGAACGGGGAGCAGCCCAGAGUCUGAAUCAGCUUGUGUGUUAGUGGAACGGUCUGGAAAGUCCGACGGUACAGGGUGAUAGUCCCGUACACCAAAAUGCACAGGCUGUGAACUCGAAGAGUAGGGCGGGACACGUGGUAUCCUGUCUGAAUAUGGGGGGACCAUCCUCCAAGGCUAAAUACUCCUGACUGACCGAUAGUGAACCAGUACCGUGAGGGAAAGGCGAAAAGAACCCCGGCGAGGGGAGUGAAAAAGAACCUGAAACCGUGUACGUACAAGCAGUGGGAGCACCUUCGGGUGUGACUGCGUACCUUUUGUAUAAUGGGUCAGCGACUUAUAUUCUGUAGCAAGGUUAACCGUAUAGGGGAGCCGCAGGGAAACCGAGUCUUAACUGGGCGUUAAGUUGCAGGGUAUAGACCCGAAACCCGGUGAUCUAGCCAUGGGCAGGUUGAAGGUUGGGUAACACUAACUGGAGGACCGAACCGACUAAUGUUGAAAAAUUAGCGGAUGACUUGUGGCUGGGGGUGAAAGGCCAAUCAAACCGGGAGAUAGCUGGUUCUCCCCGAAAGCUAUUUAGGUAGCGCCUCGUGAACUCAUCUUCGGGGUAGAGCACUGUUUCGGCUAGGGGGUCAUCCCGACUUACCAACCCGAUGCAAACUACGAAUACCGAAGAAUGUUAUCACGGGAGACACACGGCGGGUGCUAACGUCCGUCGUGAAGAGGGAAACAACCCAGACCGCCAGCUAAGGUCCCAAAGUCAUGGUUAAGUGGGAAACGAUGUGGGAAGGCACAGACAGCCAGGAUGUUGGCUUAGAAGCAGCCAUCAUUUAAAGAAAGCGUAAUAGCUCACUGGUCGAGUCGGCCUGCGCGGAAGAUGUAACGGGGCUAAACCAUGCACCGAAGCUGCGGCAGCGACACUAUGUGUUGUUGGGUAGGGGAGCGUUCUGUAAGCCUGCGAAGGUGACCUGUGAGGGUUGCUGGAGGUAUCAGAAGUGCGAAUGCUGACAUAAGUAACGAUAAAGCGGGUGAAAAGCCCGCUCGCCGGAAGACCAAGGGUUCCUGUCCAACGUUAAUCGGGGCAGGGUGAGUCGACCCCUAAGGCGAGGCCGAAAGGCGUAGUCGAUGGGAAACAGGUUAAUAUUCCUGUACUUGGUGUUACUGCGAAGGGGGGACGGAGAAGGCUAUGUUAGCCGGGCGACGGUUGUCCCGGUUUAAGCAUGUAGGCUGGUUGUCCAGGCAAAUCCGGAUAAUCAAGGCUGAGGUGUGAUGACGAGGCACUACGGUGCUGAAGUAACAAAUGCCCUGCUUCCAGGAAAAGCCUCUAAGCAUCAGGUAACAUCAAAUCGUACCCCAAACCGACACAGGUGGUCAGGUAGAGAAUACCAAGGCGCUUGAGAGAACUCGGGUGAAGGAACUAGGCAAAAUGGUGCCGUAACUUCGGGAGAAGGCACGCUGGUGUGUAGGUGAAGUCCCUGCGGAUGGAGCUGAGACCAGUCGAAGAUACCAGCUGGCUGCAACUGUUUAUUAAAAACACAGCACUGUGCAAACACGAAAGUGGACGUAUACGGUGUGACGCCUGCCCGGUGCCGGAAGGUUAAUUGAUGGGGUUAUCCGUAAGGAGAAGCUCUUGAUCGAAGCCCCGGUAAACGGCGGCCGUAACUAUAACGGUCCUAAGGUAGCGAAAUUCCUUGUCGGGUAAGUUCCGACCUGCACGAAUGGCGUAAUGAUGGCCAGGCUGUCUCCACCCGAGACUCAGUGAAAUUGAACUCGCUGUGAAGAUGCAGUGUACCCGCGGCAAGACGGAAAGACCCCGUGAACCUUUACUAUAGCUUGACACUGAACAUUGAGCCUUGAUGUGUAGGAUAGGUGGGAGGCUUUGAAGCGUGGACGCCAGUCUGCGUGGAGCCAACCUUGAAAUACCACCCUUUAAUGUUUGAUGUUCUAACGUUGGCCCCUGACCGGGGUUGCGGACAGUGUCUGGUGGGUAGUUUGACUGGGGCGGUCUCCUCCCAAAGCGUAACGGAGGAGCACGAAGGUUAGCUAAUCCUGGUCGGACAUCAGGAGGUUAGUGCAAUGGCAUAAGCUAGCUUGACUGCGAGCGUGACGGCGCGAGCAGGUGCGAAAGCAGGUCAUAGUGAUCCGGUGGUUCUGAAUGGAAGGGCCAUCGCUCAACGGAUAAAAGGUACUCCGGGGAUAACAGGCUGAUACCGCCCAAGAGUUCAUAUCGACGGCGGUGUUUGGCACCUCGAUGUCGGCUCAUCACAUCCUGGGGCUGAAGUAGGUCCCAAGGGUAUGGCUGUUCGCCAUUUAAAGUGGUACGCGAGCUGGGUUUAGAACGUCGUGAGACAGUUCGGUCCCUAUCUGCCGUGGGCGCUGGAGAAUUGAGGGGGGCUGCUCCUAGUACGAGAGGACCGGAGUGGACGCAUCACUGGUGUUCGGGUUGUCAUGCCAAUGGCACUGCCCGGUAGCUAAAUGCGGAAGAGAUAAGUGCUGAAAGCAUCUAAGCACGAAACUUGCCCCGAGAUGAGUUCUCCCUGAGACUUUAAGUCUCCUGAAGGAACGUUGAAGACGACGACGUUGAUAGGCCGGGUGUGUAAGCGCAGCGAUGCGUUGAGCUAACCGGUACUAAUGAACCGUGAGGCUUAACCUUACAACGCCGAAG